rnacentral:rRNA from 1 species
AUUGAACGCUGGCGGCAGGCCUAACACAUGCAAGUCGAGCGGAUGAAGGGAGCUUGCUCCUGGAUUCAGCGGCGGACGGGUGAGUAAUGCCUAGGAAUCUGCCUGGUAGUGGGGGAUAACGUCCGGAAACGGGCGCUAAUACCGCAUACGUCCUGAGGGAGAAAGUGGGGGAUCUUCGGACCUCACGCUAUCAGAUGAGCCUAGGUCGGAUUAGCUAGUUGGUGGGGUAAAGGCCUACCAAGGCGACGAUCCGUAACUGGUCUGAGAGGAUGAUCAGUCACACUGGAACUGAGACACGGUCCAGACUCCUACGGGAGGCAGCAGUGGGGAAUAUUGGACAAUGGGCGAAAGCCUGAUCCAGCCAUGCCGCGUGUGUGAAGAAGGUCUUCGGAUUAUAAAGCACUUUAAGUUGGGAGGAAGGGCAGUAAGUUAAUACCUUGCUGUUUUGACGUUACCAACAGAAUAAGCACCGGCCAACUUCGUG